rnacentral:lncRNA from 10 species
GUGAAAUUACUCACGUGAAAAUUAUUUUGUGAACACCAUUAAAUUUUAUCAAAGUCACUUUCAUAAUCUCUGAGGUGAUUAUACAAAGAAUGUUUUAUGAAAAGAAAAUUAUGUCUAUGGUGAGCAACAGGCAAACAGACAAACAACAAAAAAAGAAUUUGCACAAGAUGAUUCUAAGCCAGGAGCAAUAACAUUUUAGAUAAAUGAAUUUAAUACACAGCAGAGAAAAUAGAUUUGCUUUCAAAAUCUCUGAAGUUUCUGGUUUGCUGGUAAGUGAUCAACACUUGUAAAAUUAUCUGUUCAUUCUAAUAUUUUUCUUUUCUUCUCAAAGUAGGUACACAACCAUAAACAAAUAUGAUUACUUUCUCUAUAAAUCUGUUACACCUGAAGUUUAUUUUACAGUGAUAUAUCUAUAUAUUUAAAUCCAUGUAAACCAAAACUAAAGGUCUGUAUGUGUUUAGCAGACCAGAGAAGUCAUAUGUUCAACAGAAAAAAGUAGGAUAAAAUUUUAUAAAUAGUUGUUCAGAAUUCAGAAACAUAUAGCUCCAAUUAUACUCAUAAUCUUCAUUACAACCAUCAUAAUAAUCUGUAGUUACAAGUAAACAAAAAUGUAAGUUGUAGAAACCAUAUUCUCUAAAUUAUUUUAAGUUAAAGACCACUGACAAAGGGAUCACUAGAGAUGUUAGUCCACUGUCACCCAAUAGUAUAUUGUUACCUACAACCUUGGGUAAGAUGGGAUAAGUUAACAUCAGUGGCAAGAUACACAUUCAAUGUAAAAUAGCCUUAACACAAUAACAAUAAUUUUGGUUUAUUAAAACAAAUUAAGUUCACACAUUGUCAUUAAAAAGGCAUUUUGAAAUUCACUGUAUUUUAAUUACCUUAAUUUGCAAAUGGUAAGGCAAUUUCCUUCUAAAAUUCAAAUUGUUUCUCUUACUAAGCAGAUUAUUAUCCUGAUCACUUACCACACUCCUAUCAUCCUGUCACUUACGAUACUGCUGUAAACUAAUAAGUGGCCUUUCCACUUAGAAUUUCUUCGUGUGUCUUAGGUUUCAGUUUACUUAAUCCUCCAUGGAAAAGUAUAUAAAUCUGUCCAUCUAAUAUAGAAGAACCUCUCACAACUCUGGUGCAACCACUGACCAUGUUCUUUCACAUAAAUUCUAGAAAUGAAGACACAGCAUCAAAUGUAAGAGUUAAAUUAUAUUGAAAUUUGCUUUUGAAAAAUAUUGAAUCCUUUUAAUAUAAAAAAGUAGGUUCCCUUUAGAGAAAAGUGAUCGAGAUUGCUGACUAGAAGCAGCUAGACUGUGCAGUUCUCAUAGACAGGAAUGCAAGGUAUACAUAAAUACAGCACCUGCAACUGAAACAUCCAGGUACUUGCAUUGGGAAUAAUCAAAGAAACAAUCUAUGGAGAAUGGAGUAAAGCAAGGCAGGACAAUGGGCCACCUGGGAACAACAUGGAGCCAAGGGAACCUCCCCACCCAGUAAAGCAGUGAGUGCAUGUGUGACCCUAGAAACCCAUGAUUCUCCCACAGAUCUCUGCAACCUUCAGGUGAGGAGAUACCCUCAUGAACCCACUUCACCAAGGCCUUCAGUUUAACACACAGAGCUACAUGGAGUCUCAGCAGAUAAGCCACUUAGGCCUGCGCAGAUUCAAGAGCCUUAGAUACUGGCUUUCCAGGCUUCCCAGAAAAAGUAGCUGCAACUCGAGCAAAGCAGGUUACACCCCUGAACAUACCCAUAGGAAAGAGGCAGAAUCCAGGGGGCUGAUAGUGAUGGUCUGUAGGACCCACUUCAACAAUGCCUCACGUGGUAAGACCUACUGGCUUAGAUUCCAGCCAACCAUUGGUAGCAGCACUGCACCUCCCUGGGAUGGAGCUACCAGAAAGAGGAGUGGGCCACCAUCUUUGCUGCUUGAGCAACUUAGCCAUUCCAGCCUUCAGGCUUUGAAGAGCCCAAGCUGACCGGGGGGCGGAAAGGAUCUCCUAGCACAGUACAGGUGCUCUAAAAAGACAUGGCCAGACUGCCUGUUAAAGCAGGUCCCCCGUUUCAUUCCUUCUCACUGGAAAGUACUUCCCAAUGAGGGUCUCCAGCUACCACCACCAGCGCUCUUUGGUUGAUGGAGUUUUGAAACCUCUUUGGGAUACAGUUCCUAGAGGGAGGAGUCUAUACCUCCCUGGGAUGGCGCUCCCAGAGAAAAGGGCAUGCUGCCAUUGUUGCUGUUUUGCAGCAUUCAGUGGUGAUAACUUCCAGUACUGGAAAAUCUGAGGUGACUAGAAACUGUAGUGGACACCCAGCAUACUGCAGCAGCCCUUCAGAAGUGGUCGGACUGUUACGUGAGUGCCUGUUCUCAUAUAUUCUCACGAGGCAGGUUCUCCAGGCCCGGGCCACUAGCCAAUCAUUGCCAGAGCUAUUGAGCCAGUAGCAGCUUAGCAACUCCCUGGACAGAGCCUCCAGGGGCCUCUGCAGUACAACUGUCCUUGCUACCCUCAGACUAAUAAAAAAUCCCAAACCCUAAGUGCCUUAUUCACACCUCAAACUGCAGUUUACCCAAGGAGAGGAAGCCAGCCCAUCCUCCAUGGGUCCCACAAACUACCCACUGCUCCUCAGCAGACAGUAAACCCCUAACUUGGCCAAAAGUAAAGAUCUUCCAUCCUGGGCUGGCUGCACUGAGUAAUUGCUGACCUACAUCUCUCUGAGAUGCAGCCCCCAGAAGACAAGCAAAGAGAUAAUGCAGCAAGCCAGCUCAUGUGGUGGCCAGAGGGUUUGGUGCAAGAGCAUCUGUAGUAAAGUGUGGCCAGUGAUGGCCAUUUCUCUAGGCUCAACUGUCUCCCAUAAGAGACUUUAGCCCUACGGGAACUGUUGGGCCUAAUUUCUGCAGGAUGGUCUUGCAAAUCAGAAGAAGCUGGUCCAACUGAGCACUCCUUGGUCUGCUGGCCUCUCCCAGGGACCCAGUCUGGCCACAGCUGCUUACAGGGCAGUCUCAGGUACCCUGGAAGCUCAUACCAGAGCAUCUGCACUGGAGGGACAUGCCUGACUCAUGAAGAGCUCCAGCAAAGCAGCCCCUAUGACUGCACCAGCCCACAUUUCUUCCCCAUACUGCAGCUUCCCGUGACACCAUGGCAACUCCUGAUAUUUCUUUGCUGGCACAUGUCUGCAAAGGCAGGUUUGGCUUUGCUUGCCCCACCAGCAAAUGGGAAUGCAAUAUGCCCCGCCACCCCCAGCAACUGCCAUUGUAGAUGAAACUUUGGUGGGCAGAGAGCCAGAAAACUCCACCCCUGCCUUUGUGCUAACACUGUGCAGAGAACAGGGUAACCUCCCACACUCUGAACAAUCACUCUUUCUUGGGGGGCACAGAGAAGGCAUCAAAACCUUUACUGGCCAGUAUCCUGCCCCAAGCCAACACCACCUUUAGUGCAACAGCACACAGCCUCCAGCAGGUAUCCCCCACUCCCUUCCCAGCUGCUUUGCUCCUGCCACUGAGGUGAGUACCCAAAGACAGGCAGAAAUCCCAUAUCCACUAGCACUCUGCUCCAGCUAUGGCACCUUCAUCCCACAAACUCGCAAACUCCAAAUCUCAAGGAGCCAGAGAACACAGUUGGGGCUCAAAACAAGUCCCCCGGAGUUAGAGUAUGCAGCCUCUGAGUUGUGAGCUGAGCAUUGCCCACCCACCACCACCACCAAACAAAACAAAACAAAACAAAACAAAACAAAAAAAACCUCCCAGGAACAAAGCCUGUUGGCUGCAUCCAUCUUAUACCACAAUCAAAUACUCAAGACCAUCAAAUAGGAUUAAAAAAAAAAAAGCCCAAAGGUCAGCAACCUCAAAGAUAUGCCCACAAAGAUAAGACACAAUCAGUGCAAAGAUAAAAACACAAAAAGCCAGAGUGACUUCUUUCAUCCAAAUGACCAAAUUACAUUUCCAGCAAGGCCUAAGAUGACAGAAGUAGAAUUCAGAAUAUGGGUAGAAACAAACUUCACUGAGUUACAAAAGUAAUUUGCAACCCAAUGCAAGGGAGGAAAAAAAAUUGCAGGAACUGACGGAAAAAACAGCCAGUCUGGAGAAAAAAUGUGGCCAACCUGAUAGAACUGAAAAACACAAUACAAAACCUUUAUAAUGUAAUCACAUAUAUUAACAGCAGAAUAGGCCAAGCAGAGGAAAGAAUCUCAGGGCCUCAAGACUGGCUUUCUGAAAUCAGACAGACAAGAACAGUGAAAAAAGAAUAAAGAGGAAUGAACAAAACCUCUAAGAAAUAUGGGAUUAUGUAAAGAAACCAAAUCUAUGAUGCAAGAGAUUGCCUGAAAGUGAUGGGGAGAAUGAAAACAACUUGAAAUACGUAUUUCAGGAUAACAUCCAUGAGAACUUCCCCAACCUAGAGAGGCCAACAUUCAAAUGCAGGAAAUGUGGAGAACCCCAGUAAGAUACCCCAGGAGAAGGUCAUCCUCAAGACACAUAAUCAUGAGAUUCUCCAGGGUCAAAAUGAAAGAAAAAAUAUGUUAAAGGCAGCUAGAGAGAAAGGCCAGGUCACCUCUAAAAAGAAGCUCAUCAGGAAAACAACAAAUCUUUCAGCUGAAAUCCUACAAGUCAAAAGAGAUUAUAGGGGCCAAUAUUCAACAUUCUUAAAAAAAGAAUUCCAACACAGAAUUUCAUAUCUGACCAAGGUAAGCUUCAGAAGUAAAAAAUAUAUAUGAUCCUAUUCAGACAAGCAAAUGCUGAGAAAAUGUUACCACAGGAUCUGUCUUAAAAGAGCUUCUGAAGAAAGCAUUAAAUAAGAAAAAGACUAUUACCAGUCACUACAAAAGCACACUAAAGUAUACAAACUGUGGACACUAUAAAGCAACCACAGAAACAAAUGUGCAAAAUAGCCAGCUAAGAUCCUAAUAACAGAAUCCAAUCCACACAUAUGAAUACUAACCUUAAAUGUAAA